UCCCUGCAGGGCACUUGUGUGAGCUUCAGUUUCUGUCUGCACGCCCUUUAAUUGUCUGAGACUCGAUGGUGAUGAUGCUGGUGCUUAUCUUCUAGAGUUGCUGGGAGGAUUAGAUGAGCUGAUAGUAGGUGCACCUAAAUGGUACCACAUCUGGCCAAGAAACGGACCUCUCAGGUGAUCAUUUGGAUGUUUUAUCCUCACCCGCACUCUCGCCUCACCCACCGGCAGGCUCAGAAGCGGACAUCCUCCCGCUGGUGCGGCAUCGUCUAUACCUGUGCUGUGAGGGGAGCAGACCUGUGCUUAAGGCAGAAGGAAGUAUGCGGUGCAAGACAGUGGCCGAUCCCGGAGGAGGCGAGGGUUCUGUUUCCAUAAGAGGCGUCAGCUGCCGGGAUCGCAGAACAACAGACGUCCCUGCAAGGGUAGAAGCUGACCAGUGCAUAAUGGAUUCUCCCCAGCACCUGCCCACGAGGGCACAAUCUGAUCUUCCCGUAGUGAAUGCAGAUUCUUUACCACUGAGCCACCUGGGAAUCCCAAGACCAAGACAUUGCCAGUCAAAAGUUCCUAGAUGAGUUGGUCACUCUAAAGGAGAAACAGAUAAAGCCACUUUCACAUCCUCAAGGCACAGAGCAGAAAACUCCCAGUUAAACCACAGAGUUCCAUUAAAAGUUGCCACCCGUAUUCAAAAGCCUGAUUGUACACCUUGGGGUUCUGCCGAAGAAGCACUUACAGGAGUUCAGAGACUGGUGCCGUGUAGUAAAAAUGAAUCGACUUUUAGAAACCACACAGGAUGCUCCGUCUUUGGUAGGCACAGCUCUGUCUCCAUCAGCACCUCUUAAGUAGCAACCCGACCAAGCACCUGGUUCGGUACACAGUGACAGUUCACUGUCUCUCCGGUGGUAACAAUUUAGAGGCAUGAUGCUAAACAAGAUAUAUACAUGAUGUCAAAUAUUGGCUGCACACAUCUAAGCCAAUCACUUCUAAAUAAAUUAACCAUGGCACUGCCUAAUACGAUCCA
rnacentral:lncRNA from 1 species